rnacentral:rRNA from 1 species
GAUGAACGCUGGCGGCGUGCCUAAUACAUGCAAGUCGAGCGAACGGACGAGAAGCUUGCUUCUCUGAUGUUAGCGGCGGACGGGUGAGUAACACGUGGUUAACCUACCUAUAAGACUGGGAUAACUUCGGGAAACCGUAGCUAAUACCGGAUAAUAUUUUGCACCGCAUGGUUCAAAAGUGAAAGACGGUCUUUCUGUCACUUAUAGAUGGAUCCGCGCUGCAUUAGCUAGUUGGUAAGGUAACGGCUUACCAAGGCAACGAUGCAUAGACGACCUGAGAGGGAGAUCGGCCAGCCGGGAAGUGAGAAACGGUCCAGACUCCUGCGGGAGGAAGCAGUAGGGAAUCUUCCGCAAUGGGCGAAUGCGUGACGGAGCAACGCCGCGUGAGUGAUGAAGGUCUUCGGAUCGUAAAGCUCUGUUAUUAGGGAAGAACAUAUGCGUAAGUAACUGUGAACAUCUUGACGGUACCUAAUCAGAAAGCCACGGCUAACUCCGUG